UACGGAGGGGGCUAGCGUUGUCCGGAAUUAUUGGGCGUAAAGAGCUCGUAGGCGGUUCGUCGCGUCGGCUGUGAAAACCUGAGGCUCAACCUCAGGCCUGCAGUCGAUACGGGCGGACUUGAGUACUGCAGGGGAGACUGGAAUUCCUGGUGUAGCGGUGAAAUGCGCAGAUAUCAGGAGGAACACCGGUGGCGAAGGCGGGUCUCUGGGCCGAUACUGACACUGAGGAGCGAAAGCGUGGGGAGCGAACAGG
rnacentral:rRNA from 1 species